rnacentral:misc_RNA from 1 species
GUGAAUCAUCGAAUUUUUGAACGCAAAUUGCACUCUCUGGUAUUCCGGAGAGUAUGCCUGUUUGAGGGUCAGUUUAAAUAAAAAUCGGUGUGGUUGCUGCCUUUCGUGGUGACGUACCGGAUUUGGGUCGUCUUGCCUUCGGUUAAGUGACCUAAAAUUUUGCAUGAUUUUUUUGGAAGGAUUUUAAUUGAUUUAACGAAGUUUUCCGUAUUCAA